AUACCUUUCUCGGCCAUUUGGCUAGGAUCAAGUGUAGUAUCAAUUCUUAUUAGUUUAAUAUUCGAUACGUGAACUAAUGGUCCACACAAUAUUAAAUUAAUUUUUUAAGGAAGAGAGCCUACUGUAGUAGCUUACUGCUGGAGUUCUUGAGCGUCGCCCAGCGUUGCCCUACUGCUCGGGCCCCGCGCAACCCCA